rnacentral:rRNA from 1 species
UACGAAGGGGGCUAGCGUUGCUCGGAAUUACUGGGCGUAAAGCGCACGUAGGCGGCUUCUUAAGUCGGUGGUGAAAUCCUGGAGCUCAACUCCAGAACUGCCUUCGAUACUGGGAGCUCGAGUCCGGGAGAGGUGAGUGGAACUGCGAGUGUAGAGGUGAAAUUCGUAGAUAUUCGCAAGAACACCAGUGGCGAAGGCGGCUCACUGGCCCGGUACUGACGCUGAGGUGCGAAAGCGUGGGGAGCGA